GAGUUCUGGAGCUUCAAAGAGUGCUGGCCCUAUUUCCUGUGGAACAGAAGGAAUCUAACUGUGGGUCCACCCCCUACCCCGGGUCCCAAGCUCAGACUCCCGCUGGAGUGCCAGUGAACUCACUGUUCCUGCCCGGACACUGGGUGGAAGACUGGGGCCUUGUGGACGCCCGAGGAUGCUUCCCAAGAAACCAGAACAGACAAGACCCCAAGGAUAGAGAUCUAACGAUGGCUAACGGAGUUGGUCUGAUGGGCCUGGCAGUGGUCCCACGUGGGAGUGACUAUCCUGAGGACAAGCUCAUGCUACGAUGUCAACUCUCCUGUUCAGCAAUUCGGUGUCAGACCAGUGUUGAUAAGUGGUGGCCUGCAGCCUGUCCACAGCUCACUGACAAGCCCUGCGCUGCUGGCUGCCACCUGGACAGUGCUUCCUCCUCUCUCAGGACCCUUGUCCCCAGCCUUCCUUAGCAUUUCAUGAUGAAGCCACAUUUCUAAGUUGACACUAUUUUAGUGACUCUUUCAAGAGGCCUGUCAGCCAAAUGACUUCUCCGGAUUUGAACUUUCAGCCCUGGCCCCAUUCUGAAGCUCCAAAUAGCUACGCUUAGCAGUUUACUGGACUUCGCCAUACGGAUAAGGAUCUCAAACAAAAUAUGACCCAAAUGGACUUCCUGGAUGCCCCUUGGCUCCAAAUCUGUUCCAAUACCAGUCAUUUCCCACAACUGCCA